rnacentral:rRNA from 1 species
GACAGAGGGGGCAAGCGUUGCUCGGAAUUACUGGGCGUAAAGGGCGCGUAGGCGGGAUGGCAAGUCGGUCGUGAAAUCCCUCGGCUCAACCGAGGAACGUCGAUCGAUACUGCUGUUCUUGAGGAUUGCAGAGGAGACUGGAAUUCCCGGUGUAGCGGUGAAAUGUGUAGAGAUCGGGAGGAACACCGGUGGCGAAGGCGGGUCUCUGGGCAAUUCCUGACGCUGAGCUGCGAAAGCUAGGGGAGCAAACAGG